AUUGCGACGAUGACGUCGAUGUACGAUAAAGUUGUGUCCCUCAUCAAGAGGCCACCUUCCGAGCGGACUACAAGAGAGUGUCAGGAGCUUGUGAAGUGGUUAGCAAGUCGAAGCCAGACCUUGAAAAAUGUGAAAUACGACGUCAUCACGGAGAUCAUUCGUUACUGCAGCUUCGAAACUCGAGAGCUUGAUGACGUCAUCAUCAAACAGUCUGGAGAUCGGAGACAAGAUGUACGUGGCACUUCAAGGAAGGGUCAGUAUCUACGUCAUCGGCAAAGACGCAGCCAAAGAUGGGUCCCGCGAAAACGAGGCCAUCAACGCCGAGGUCCUGGACUUCCUCAACGAGGUCUGCAGCAAGAAGAAGUUGGACCGGAGCGCCCUGGGCGUCCUUGUAUACUCAGGAGAAAACGCGACGUUUGGCGAGGUGGCGCUGGUGGAGGUGGACAGCGUGCGCACGGCGACAGUGGUGGCCGACAACCACAUCGACCUCCUGACCAUCGACCGUGACCUCUUCAACCGAUGCCUGCGGGGCGUGGUGGCAGAAGACAUGCAGGCCAAGAGCAGCUUCGUGGACCGUAACCCUGCCUUCAGAGCUUGGCCUCCACGUCAGCGAAAACAACUUGUCAUCAGCCUCACGACCGAGAAAGUCAGUUACGGCGCUCGUGUCAUCAGGCAAGGCCAGGCGGCUACACACGCCUACUUCAUCAGCAGCGGGGAGGUGGAGAUCAACUUGGAGCCUCGGCAAUACAAGUCGCAGUUCCCGCGAGUGUGGACAGAGAUGGAGUCCCUGAUUCCAGACCUCCGCUCCAGCAAAAGAGCUUUGAACCUGACCCCUCAUGAAGACCGUAUUCAAAGACUCGCUGUCCACAGACCGCAACAGAUCUGCAUUCUUGGCGAGAAUGAACAUCUUGGUGCCCUGGAAAUGAUCCUGGGCCUCGACCACUACAUCGAGAGCGCGUGCACCAAGUCGGCGUGCGUGCUGCUGAAGCUGGGCCGGCCGCAGUUCGACCGCCUGAUGAAGCGCAAGUUCGCGUUGCCCACCAUCGAGAACCUGAAGGAGAACCUCGCCUCUCGUCUCUGCCUCUACAUCUACCAAUGCCCUCCCAACGACGCCGCCUUCCUCAAGUACCUCAACAUGAAGCUGGCCGACGCCUCACUGAUGGCCACCUUGAGGAAGAGCAAGCAAGUCUUCGACACCAACGGUGUCUUCCAAGGCGCCAUCGUCGACAAGGAGCGCUCGGAGGCGAGGACCGAGCUCAUGAAGCGACUGCACAUGUCCGCCGACCGCGCCGCGUCACUUCCGCCGGAAGACAUGUCCGAGGUUGUCGUCGCCAACAUGGACAAGCGGCUGAAGCUCUGGUCAGAAAAAUCCAACCUCAACGGCGGCAAGCUAGUCAGGCUGCAGACUGCACAUGAAAAGCGAAGAACGGUCUCGGGAAUAAGGUCACAGUCCAAGGCCUGGAGGUCAUAAAGGGCGACAAGCGGAUUUCUGGAAUAAAUCUCGAUUGUGUCCCCCGCUUAUCAUUCAGAUGGUUUUCAGAGUUUCGUGGAUCGACACCAGCUGCCUCUAAUGUCGCCUGACAGUCUGUGAUGUGGACUUUUUGGUAGAAUUGUUGUUGCGGUCGUAGAUGUCAAAGAAGUACAUCAUCCUGCCAGAACUUCGUGGGAAUUUGUUUCUAUUCUAAUUCCAUUUGGAUGAACCUGUGCCAUUGGCCAAAACUUUGUUCAUUUAUCUACAAACGUGUAUAAGCUGUCAUUUCAGAUUUCUUUGGAAAUCAGGUUUGAUAUGGAACUGCACUGAAGCAGGACAGCGCUCUGAACAUGAAACGCUUCCGUAAAGAUGCACACUGUUGGCAAGAACAAUCACAUUAUUUGGUGAGAUUGGGGUGGAGGGGAAGGGAUGUCAAGAACAGUUUUUAGUUAUGUAUAAUGGAAGCUAAUAACGGCUUUCAUGAGAUUAUCUGAUUGGCGCUACAUCCGGGUACUUGAAAUUGAGUAACUUUGUAUCCCUUGAUAAACCUGAUAAAACUGGUCUCAGCAUUUACAGUCUCUUUGUCUUAGACUGACAUGAAAGGUGGAUGAAACAAAAUGACUUUGAAACACGUUGGAAUCCAGGAUAAAUAAAUAUAUAAAUAAUGUAAAUAUACGGCUAUCAUAAAUUAUAUUGCAUGAUCAUCCAGUCUAUGCGUCUUGUUUCCGAUGUUAUAAAGUGAUGUUCAGACCCCACAGAUUUUGUUUCAUUUCUGGGGUCGUAAUUAUGAAGCGGUAAGAGAGAUAUCUGGAGGGUAAAGAACCAUAUAAAAUAUCCCGGGGGUCUGGGCAUGGCAUUGUAACUUUGAAAACAAGACUAUUUUCCUUACGUUCCACAUGUUGACCUGACUUACUCUCGCUUCACAACUUCAGAUCAUGGACGAUAAUCAAAACCAUUGAUUACAGCUGCCGGCCCAGUCUGUUCUAAUUUGCCUCAAAGAGUCUCGGAGAGACUGCAUAAAUUUUGCAAACUGUCUAACGGUCUCAGGAGUAGGUCGUUGGUGGUCAAGACUGAUGGCAUCUCAUUACAUAAGACUUGGCCAAUUAAUACCAUGUGGGUGACUUUGGGGGACAAAUCGUCUACAUGAACAGGAUGCAGUGCAACCUGACAAAAUAAUGAAGGUGUUCGUUAAACAUAUCUAGAAACCAAACUCUGCCAUUCACAUUGCAAACAGCAUGGCUGGCAUUAAGAAAUCUGUCAGACGCCUACAUUAACUUUGCACAAUGCCUCUACCAAAAACAUGCAAAGUAUUUCAAUUCCACUUCCAUUACUCACCCAAAAAAGUGGCUCUCUAAUUUGUGUGAACAAGAAUCGAACCUUCCCCUCACAUUUAUUCAGAUCUUUCGCUUUAUGCUCCUGUACAUUCGUUGCUUUGCAUUAUCUUUAUGUCAGGAAUUAUGAGUCAAAUGCAGUUUUGUUUGUUUCUUUGUUUACCUAUGUGUUUAUUCUUUGUUUUACUUGAUUUCUUAAAAUAAAAUUUUGCUCAAGGAGAAACAGAAAAAAAUUAAUGUGCUGUUGU